rnacentral:tRNA from 1 species
GUCCAGGGAUGGGGAUUGAACCCACAGUGUUCCACUAACUGGGCAGAUGCCAUGUCCACUAAGCUACCCUGGA